GCCUACGGGGCGCAGCAGUGAGGAAUAUUGGUCAAUGGCCGGAAGGCUGAACCGGCCAAGUCGCGUGAGGGAAUAAGGCCCUAUGGGUCGUAAACCUCUUUUGUCAGGGAGCAAAGGCGUCCACGAGUGGACGAAAGGAGAGUACCUGAAGAAAAAGCAUCGGCUAACUCCGUGCCAGCAGCCGCGGUAAUACGGAGGAUGCGAGCGUUAUCCGGAUUUAUUGGGUUUAAAGGGUGCGUAGGCGGAGUGUCAAGUCAGCGGUAAAAUUUCGGGGCUCAACCCCGCCGUGCCGUUGAAACUGACAC
rnacentral:rRNA from 1 species